rnacentral:rRNA from 1 species
AGUAAAUAGAUACCCGGGUAGUCCACGCCGUAAACGAUGAAUACUAGGUGUAGGGGUUGUCAUGACCUCUGUGCCGCCGCUAAACGCAUUAAGUAUUCCGCCUGGGGAGUACGGUCGCAAGAUUAAAACUCAAAGGAAUUGACGGGGGCCCGCACAAGCAGCGGAGCAUGUGGUUUAAAUUCGAAGCAACGCGAAGAACCUUACCUAGACUUGACAUCUCCUGAAUUACUCUGUAAUGGAGGAAGCCACUUCGGUGGCAGGAAGACAGGUGGUGCAUGGUUGUCGUCAGCUCGUGUCGUGAGAUGUUGGGUUAAGUCCCGCAACGAGCGCAACCCUUAUUGUUAGUUGCUACCAUUUAGUUGAGCACUCUAGCGAGACUGCCCGGGUUAACCGGGAGGAAGGUGGGGAUGACGUCAAAUCAUCAUGCCCCUUAUGUCUAGGGCUACACACGUGCUACAAUGGUCGGUACAAUGAGAUGCAACCUCGCGAGAGUGAGCAAAAACUAUAAAACCGAUCUCAGUUCGGAUUGUAGGCUGAAAC